rnacentral:misc_RNA from 1 species
AAAGGCGAACUCAGAAAACGUUGAAUCAGCUUAUGCAGGAUCAAGAAAGGGAGAGAGAAGCUGUUGAGGAAGAAGUGGAGUGACGAGUUUAUAACCUUUUGUAGCUUGUUGGAACAGAACACCUGUUUCACAGAUGGGCAAUAUUGUACAUUGAAUUUAGAUGCGAUAUCUUUUUAAUAUGAAGUAGUGAACAGAUUUAAAAACAAAA